rnacentral:rRNA from 1 species
AUUGAACGCUGGCGGUAUGCCUUACACAUGCAAGUCGAACGGUAGAGGGGCAACCCUUGAGAGUGGCGAACGGGUGAGUAAUACAUCGGAACGUGCCCAGUCGUGGGGGAUAACGUAGCGAAAGCUACGCUAGUACCGCAUACGACCCGAGGGCGAAAGCGGGGGACUCGCAAGGGCCUCGCGCGAUUGGAGCGGCCGAUGGCAGAUUAGGUAGUUGGUGGGGUAAAGGCCCACCAAGCCUGCGAUCUGUAGCGGGUCUGAGAGGACGACCAGCCACACUGGGACGGAGACACGGCCCAGACUCCUACGGGAGGCAGCAGUGGGGAAUUUUGGACAAUGGGCGAAAGCCUGAUCCAGCCAUACCGCGUGCGGGAAGAAGGCCUUCGGGUUGUAAACCGCUUUUGUCAGGGAAGAAAUCUUCUGGGUUAAUACCUCGGGAGGAUGACGGUACCUGAAGAAUAAGCACCGGCUAACUACGUGCCAGCCGCCGCGUAAGAC